AUUGAACGCUGGCGGCAGGCUUAACACAUGCAAGUCGAGCGAGCGGCGGACGGGUGAGUAAUGUCUGGGAAACUGCCUGAUGGAGGGGGAUAACUACUGGAAACGGUAGCUAAUACCGCAUACCAUCAUAUGUGCCCAGAUGGGAUUAGCUAGUAGGUGGGGUACUGGCUAACCUAGGCGACGAUCCCUAGCUGGUCUGCGAGGAUGACCAGCCCCCCUGGACCGGCGCCACGGUCCAGACUCCUACGGUAGGCGGCAGUGGGAAUUAUUGCACAAUGGGCGCAAGCCUGAUGCGGCCAGGCCGCGGGUGUGAAGAAGGCCUUCGGUUUGUAAAGCACUUUCAGCGAGGAGGCGUUACUCGCAGAAGAAGCACCGGCUAACUCCGUGCCAGCCGCCGCGGUAAUUC
rnacentral:rRNA from 1 species